UCAAAUAAAAUUUAUAAAUGAAUGUAAAAUGUGUACCUAAUAUAUAUAAUUCAUUCGAAUUUUAUUAUUAUUUUCAGUUAAUUAAUAGCAAAUCGUAUUUGGGCAAAAAUAAAUUUUAUUUUGAAGGAGCGCAAGCAAAAAUGAAAUGAAAAAAGAAUGCUGGCUAUUUCUUGUGAACAAAAAUUAUAUCAGAAUAAGCAUAUAAAAAUGGGCAAUAGUUUAAAGUUAAAAUAAAAUGUUGCUUCAUAUAGAUAUUUAAGUGCGCACAUACAUAAAUACUAAUAAAAAAAAUUGUUUAAAUUUUACUACUCGCAAUUGUGUAGCAUAAACUUUGGCUUGAAAUUCCCAAUUUUACAAUUGUUUUUAUAUUUCAACGAAAAUCGAAUGUCAUAAUUCAUAAAAAGUGCCUAGUGAAAAAUUGUUUAUAUAAUUUUGGAAAUGAGAAAAACAAACAUAACGAAGCAAAGUACAACAAUGACAACCACAACCUUUAAAAAUAAAAAUAAAUCAAUUAGGAAUAAAUUGUAGAAUUUACAAUUCGUAUGCAAUUAAAUUAGUCAAAAGUGAAAGUGCAAGCUUUGCAUGGAUUAAGAAAUUAAUUGGAAUUUGCUGGACGGCAGUGUGGAAACCAAAGAAAAGUUCAUCAUUUGCCAUCACAUAAUGUUCCAUAUUUCGGUAGGGUAGCGUACGAAUUCCGCACCGGAACAACUCCUUGGCUGUUCAGGCAAACCAUAAAUCGAACCAUUUUUUGACUUCAUAAUAAGAGUGAAAUUGCUGUAGAGCCAGAGCAUUUGCCAUUGAACGAAAUAAAUUAUAGAUGGAGGGAGCAAUGCCUGGAAAGUAUAUUAGGUAGCAGUUGGAGUAAACUACAAAUUGGCAAUGUGCAAUAACUUCACAUCACCAACCAUUCCCUAAAUACUAACCCAUGUAUACAUACAAACAUUUAUAUGUAUUGUAGAUGAAUCACAUUGUGAAAUAUGUAUGGCCCGAACAAUAUCCUUUAAAUAUAUAGAUGCAGCAUGGCCUGAUAGUCAUAUUAACCGUUGUACACUACUUGGGUCGAAAUCGGGCAUGUGUGCUAAAUGUGGAUCUGUUUUUAAUAAUUUUAAAUAUUCACUGUUUUUCUAGAAAACAU